rnacentral:misc_RNA from 1 species
AAUGAGUCGAUCGUGUUGAGUAACGCUCUCGAUAUCAAACAAGCAACAAGUUCUGUCCAUUAAAAGGUAUCGCCGUUUUUUGUUUACAUACGCCUAUAUGGACUCGGAAUCACUCGGGGGGUGAUAGAAAGCAAGUGAAAAGAAAGAGGGAAAGUACUUUAAAAAGCAAGUGGAUUAGCCGAUUUCAAGUCAGUGCAAUUCUAGCUAAAGAACGCAGUGGCUCGUUGACUAACGACGGAUCAACGACGUGUUUUCCAUUCUUAUUUUCGCCUUAGGUGUCAUGGCAACAGCGUCAGCUCUGCAAACUGACAAAGAAUCUGUUCGACUAUUCAGAGUAAUAAAAAUACUAUCAGUUAUUUCUCAUUCUACCGAUCUUGUAAAUGACUCAAACCAACAUGAAUAUUUCAAUAGGAAAAACGAGGUUUUGCUUCUGGAUAUGGUGGUGAUUACGGUGGAGUGCAUGGAGGUGGAUAUGGAGUCGGUUAUGGAGGGGCAGCUGUGCUAGCCCAGCAAGCUACAAAUGUUGCCAAGGCAGCUCAAGCUUCGCAGGCUGCUGCUGCAUCCCAAGCAGCCCAACAAGCCCAGGCAGCACUUGCAGCUCAGGCAACUUACGCUGCACAACAAGUGCAAGCAGUUGUAGCUGCCCAGCAACAACAAGCAGUUUACGCUGCACAAGCUGAGCAGCUGCUUAUUCUUCUGUCCAUUACGGUGGUUACGGAUCGAGUCAUACUGCCCACCAUGCUCAACAUCCAAUGUACCAGUCCCAAGCUGAUUUAGCAGCUGCCCAGCAGGCCGUUAAUAAAGCUUAUUCGGCUGCCCAAGCCGCUCAAGCCGUAACUGUCGGUGGUGAUGGUGUUUACGGUGGAUUCAGCAGCAGUCACGGAGGAGGCUACGGUUAUAGACAUUAACCAGCUUUGGAUUCAAUCUUUCACAGUUCUGUUGUCAGCAACUACUGUACAUGAGGCAACAAAGAAUAAGUGGAAGAUUUACAUUUUACAAGCAUUUUUUCCUGCACAAAAAUUUGACAAAAGAUUGUAGAGCAAUCUCUUGCUUCACAGACACGACAUUGUGUACCUGUGCUGUUAAAAAAAUACACAGUUGCCAGUUGACCUCAGUGUAACGAGUUAUUUUUUCCAUUUCCAAUCGUACCAUCUCGUUUAACGUGACCUCCCUGAAAAUCAACAAUGGAAUUUCAUUCGAGACUUUUUGGAGGUUGAGUACAAGCAUAUAGGGGUUAAUAGUGGAUUCGAUAAACCAAACGUACCGACUGGAAUCCUUGCUAUACCACGGAGAAAGUUGUAGUUUAGAGGCAGCAAUGGAUGCAUGAAUUUCUUUUGUUACUUUGAGUGGGUCAGCAUCUCAGCAGACGAAUCGUGUGACUAGUUAACAAGUGAAGCAGGUUAACUAGUUUGAUUGAUACAAUUCAUGUCGUUUCAGUUUCUAUAUCAAGAUAACUCAUAAACGAAACAAAGUGAAUACAAAAAUAUUAACAACAAUUUUCAGACAAUAAAUUGUGCGGCAUACUGCUUGGAAAAAUUGGUGUAAAAAUACUCCUGUACUGGGAAGGAAGCAAAAGCGAUUGGCGUAGUGGCCGUUGGAGUAGGAGUCGCAGCGGUCGGUUGGCUCGGCUGGAAGGCGUACGUCAAGGCAAGAGCUCCCGUUGUUCAAAUGGGCGUUGCUGACGAAGCGCAAGCAGUACAAAGCAA